CCUACGGGUGGCAGCAGUAGGGAAUAUUGCUCAAUGGGGGAAACCCUGAAGCAGCAACGCCGCGUGGAGGAUGAAGGUUUUCGGAUUGUAAACUCCUUUUGUUAGAGAAGAAAAUGACGGUAUCUAACGAAUAAGCACCGGCUAACGCCGUGCCAGCAGCCGCGGUAAUACGGAGGGUGCAAGCGUUACUCGGAAUCACUGGGCGUAAAGGGAGCGUAGGCGGGUUAGAAGUUAAGGUGUGAAGGCCUAUGGCUUAACGAUAGAAGUGCAUUUGAAACUGUUAUUCUGGAGUACAGGAGAGGUAGGUGGAAUGCGUGGUGUAGCGGUGAAAUGCGUAGAGAUCACGAAGAACACUGAUUGCGAAGGCGACCUACUAAAACGUAACUGACGCUGAUGCGCGAAAGCGUGGGGAGCAAACAGGAUUAGAUACCCGGGUAGUC
rnacentral:rRNA from 1 species